GACGAACGCUGGCGGCGUGCUUAACACAUGCAAGUCGAACGAAGAGCGAUGGAAGCUUGCUUCUAUCAAUCUUAGUGGCGAACGUGUGAGUAACGCGUAAUCAACCUGCCCUUCAGAGGGGGACAACAGUUGGAAACGACUGCUAAUACCGCAUACGAUCUAAACUCGGCAUCGAGGAUAGAUGAAAGGUGGCCUCUACAUGUAAGCUAUCACUGAAGGAGGGGAUUGCGUCUGAUUAGCUAGUUGGAGGGGUAACGGCCCACCAAGGCGAUGAUCAGUAGCCGGUCUGAGAGGAUGAACGGCCACAUUGGGACUGAGACACGGCCCAGACUCCUACGGGAGGCAGCAGUGGGGAAUCUUCCGCAAUGGACGAAAGUCUGACGGAGCAACGCCGCGUGAGUGAUGACGGCCUUCGGGUUGUAAAGCUCUGUUAAUCGGGACGAAAGGCCUUCUUGCGAAUAGUGAGAAGGAUUGACGGUACCGGAAUAGAAAGCCACGGCUAACUACGUG
rnacentral:rRNA from 1 species